GGCAAACUCCCCUCCGACAAGACGGCUCCUAGCUCGGGUAAGCAGCAGCACCCCCAUGGUCAUUUUAGUUUUCAGAGAGCCCUUUUUUGUGUGUCAGCUGAUGAUGCCUUCAUUCUCUUGUCCAUUGAGGAUCCUCAACAGGCAAGAACAAGUUCCACCGCCGGUCUGAAACUCGUCCCAACUGGGCAAGGGAUUCUCUCACUACCUUCUAAUUAAGUGAGUAGUCAACAUCUUCAGGGCCCUUUACUCUGCUUUCUUUCUACUUCAAGCAAGGAGAUGAUUUAUAUGCAUCUAAACAAGUAGUUGUCGCUGCACUGCUAUAACAAUCAAUGUACAUGCAUAGCUCUAAGCUCUAGCCUAGUGCGCUACACUGCCUCUGUCUGGCCUGAUGAGGUCUUGGUCUAGUAUGAUGCGUGUGUGGACAGUGUUGGUCACUUACUAGCUAUGGUUCUUUUACUGCUGGACAGUGUUAUUUCAAUUUGUACCCCAUCUAAGCCGCUCACUGUUUUCGUUACCUAAUUGCUACUGGAUGCAGAAAAAUGUGUAAGCUUUAUAUGCCAAAAGGUUAUGCAUUUACUCAUGAAGCAUGUCUUGCAAAUGGAAGAUUUUGGUGUCCAUGAUUAGUGACGAUCCUCAAGUAGGAUGAAUCUUUAGUUUUGAUGUGUCUCAGAUUUACUUUUGUUAAGUUGUGAUGAUAUAGUGCUUAAUCUGAGCAUGUUCCACGUAAUGCAAUGGACUGUUCCAAGGGCUGGGCGCUGCUGCAAGGCCCAUCUUUAUCUUUGCUCUUGCGCAUGAUGGAUGGUCAAGGACUAGUUAAGUAGGUCAUUUUGCGACCAAAUGAAUGGUCUUCCAGUUUGGUAUCUCUAAAUGAUGAUUACAUAUUAGCACGUUCUUCAGUUUGGGAUAUAUAUUUAUGUGUAAUAGUGAAUUAUGUCUUGGAAGGCAUGUUACUUAUUUCCUGUUGAUUCAUUGGACAUCGCAUGACAAUCUCUAAGAAGGUUGUCCAUUUACUGAUCAAUCAUUUCUUGCACGAUUUUGUUGUCGAUGAUUAGUGUUGAACCUCAUAUGUCCUCUGCAAUUCAUUUCCAUUAUAAUCUUACUCAUACAAUAUUCACACCAUGUAAUUCUGGAAAAGACAGUAUUGACAUGUUAUAAAAAAUGACAGUAUUGACAUGUUAUAAAUAGUUUGUUUGUAUUUCUGUUUAUUUUGUUACAUUUUGCAGGGAUAAAGUGAAGAAAAAGAAGAAAAGAUUACUAGAAGAUUAGUUUUAGGAUUUUCUUUUAUUUCCUUGCAAUUUUCCUUUUAUUGGAUACUUGUAAAGACAUUGUAACAUUCUUACUAUAAUAAAAAAUAUGAUUCUAUUUCAUUUUUUGUUUUU
rnacentral:lncRNA from 1 species